rnacentral:tRNA from 2 species
AGCGCGGUAAGUAGCGGUAAGUCGUAAAACGGGGUCUCACAACCCGAAGGUCACAAGUUCAAAUCCUGUCCCCGCUACCA